GUUUUGCUGCCUUGUUCGUGAUAUUCACGAUUUAUAGACCCACAAGAAAUAAAAGGAGCCCGGGCUUCCCCUUCAGGGUUCGCAGACCUCCCGACCGGUCCUGCUUAUGUCACGACCGCAUCGGACGUUGGGAGCGCAAAAAAGGGGAGAGGGCACCACCCUUGCACAUGCAGGGUUUCUCUUAUCGGCUUACACGGCAAGGCGGUAUAACA
rnacentral:other from 1 species